rnacentral:lncRNA from 1 species
AUAUAAUAAAAAGGGAAAACUUCAAAAACCCCCUAUGUGGUUUCGUAGUUUCUCACUUUGCCCCCCUAUGGUUUAAAAUGUAUAAAUUUGCCCUCCCGUGAUUUCUUUUUUCUCUUUUUCAUAUCAAUUUUAUUAUUUUUUUUUCUUAAAUCAGUGAUAAAGUUAAAAUUAAAAAUGUACUAAAGUGAAUAUUUGAUAAAUCUAGAUGGUUAUCUGAAGUUUUUUGUAUAUAAUUUAAUGAAAUAUUAACGAAAAAGCUAUCGAAAAGAUAAAAACAAAAU